rnacentral:rRNA from 1 species
GAAUGAUGGUGACCUAAACCCUCACCAGAGUAACAAUUGGAGGGCAAGUCUGGUGCCAGCAGCCGCGGUAAUUCCAGCUCCAAUAGCGUAUAUUAAACUUGUUGCAGUUAAAAAGCUCGUAGUUGAAUUUCUGCGUUAUCGAGUUAUUGACUCUUGUCUUUAAUCGAUUUCGCUUUUGGGAUUUAUCCCUUUUUACUUUGAGAAAAUUAGAGUGUUUCAAGCAGACUUUUGUCUUGAAUACUUCAGCAUGGAAUAAUAGAGUAGGACUUUGGUUCUAUUUUGUUGGUUUUUGAACCUUAGUAAUGGUUAAUAGGAACGGUUGGGGGCAUUCGUAUUUAACUGUCAGAGGUGAAAUUCUUAGAUUUGUUAAAGACGAACUACUGCGAAAGCAUUUGCCAAGGACGUUUCCAUUAAUCAAGAACGAAAGUUAGGGGAUCGAAGACGAUCAGAUACCGUCGUAGUCCU